rnacentral:rRNA from 1 species
AAGGCGAAAAGAACCCCGGCGAGGGGAGUGAAAAAGAACCUGAAACCGUGUACGUACAAGCAGUGGGAGCACAGGUUUACCUGUGUGACUGCGUACCUUUUGUAUAAUGGGUCAGCGACUUAUAUUCUGUAGCAAGGUUAACCGUAUAGGGGAGCCGUAGGGAAACCGAGUCUUAACCGGGCGUUAAGUUGCAGGGUAUAGACCCGAAACCCGGUGAUCUAGCCAUGGGCAGGUUGAAGGUUGGGUAACACUAACUGGAGGACCGAACCGACUAAUGUUGAAAAAUUAGCGGAUGACCUGUGGCUGGGGGUGAAAGGCCAAUCAAACCGGGAGAUAGCUGGUUCUCCCCGAAAGCUAUUUAGGUAGCGCCUCGUGAAUUCAUCUCCGGGGGUAGAGCACUGUUUCGGCUAGGGGGCCAUCCCGGCUUACCAACCCGAUGCAAACUGCGAAUACCGGAGAAUGUUAUCACGGGAGACACACGGCGGGUGCUAACGUCCGUCGUGAAGAGGGAAACAACCCAGACCGCCAGCUAAGGUCCCAAAGUCAUGGUUAAGUGGGAAACGAUGUGGGAAGGCCCAGACAGCCAGGAUGUUGGCUUAGAAGCAGCCAUCAUUUAAAGAAAGCGUAAUAGCUCACUGGUCGAGUCGGCCUGCGCGGAAGAUGUAACGGGGCUAAACCAUGCACCGAAGCUGCGGCAGCGAACGUAUCACCCAAGACAACUUUACGGAGUUGACGAUUGACGGAGCGAAGCGACGUCAAAGCGUUCAUUAAAGUCGAGUUGGCUUAGGGAUACGUUCGUUGGGUAGGGGAGCGUUCUGUAAGCCUGUGAAGGUGUGUCGUGAGGCAUGCUGGAGGUAUCAGAAGUGCGAAUGCUGACAUAAGUAACGAUAAAGCGGGUGAAAAGCCCGCUCGCCGGAAGACCAAGGGUUCCUGUCCAACGUUAAUCGGGGCAGGGUGAGUCGACCCCUAAGGCGAGGCCGAAAGGCGUAGUCGAUGGGAAACGGGUUAAUAUUCCCGUACUUGGUGUUACUGCGAAGGGGGGACGGAGAAGGCUAUGUUGGCCGGGCGACGGUUGUCCCGGUUUAAGCGUGUAGGUGUGUGUUCCAGGUAAAUCCGGUUCACUUUAACACUGAGGCGUGACGACGAGGCACUACGGUGCU